rnacentral:rRNA from 1 species
GACGAACGCUGGCGGCGUGCCUAAUACAUGCAAGUCGAACGCUUCUUUCCUCCCGAGUGCUUGCACUCAAUUGGAAAGAGGAGUGGCGGACGGGUGAGUAACACGUGGGUAACCUACCCAUCAGAGGGGGAUAACACUUGGAAACAGGUGCUAAUACCGCAUAACAGUUUAUGCCGCAUGGCAUAAGAGUGAAAGGCGCUUUCGGGUGUCGCUGAUGUAUGGACCCGCGGUGCAUUAGCUAGUUGGUGAGGUAACGGCUCACCAAGGCCACGAUGCAUAGCCGACCUGAGAGGGUGAUCGGCCACACUGGGACUGAGACACGGCCCAGACUCCUACGGGAGGCAGCAGUAGGGAAUCUUCGGCAAUGGACGAAAGUCUGACCGAGCAACGCCGCGUGAGUGAAGAAGGUUUUCGGAUCGUAAAACUCUGUUGUUAGAGAAGAACAAGGACGUUAGUAACUGAACGUCCCCUGACGGUAUCUAACCAGAAAGCCACGGCUAACUACGUG